CUCAACCUACUUUCUCAUACCAUUCAGGACCACUUGCCCAGGGGUGGCACCACCCUCAGUGAGCUGGGUCUUCCCACAUCAAUCAUUAAUCAAGAAAAUGAACUACAGACUUGCCUACAGUGCCAAGCUGCAGCUGCUCUCCAUGACCCCUUUAUGCUUUCAAAAUAAGCCGUGGGAGACUCUUACACACUACCCAGUUCAGCUUCCAGCACAAGGGUUUUCCUUGGAACACGGCACUGUGAAGGCACACUAGAUGGGAUGCUUUGAGGCACUAGGAGGCUGCUGAGUUUUUCCCGAGUCGGAAAAUGACAAGAUCCUCUUCACAUUUCAGAGAAAACUCUGUGCUGGGGCCUGAGCAGAAAACCUGAAAGAAAGAAACCUGGCCCAGCAUCAAACGUGCCUUCCAAGCUUUGAGUCCUGGAUUCUACUUUGCCCACUCGCAGAACAUGUGGCCCUGCCACUGAUUCCCACAAAUAGACACACUCUAUCCUUUCCUUACUGGUGACUUGGGCCAACUUCUCUGUGAGGUUAGUUUCAUGUGUCAUCUUGGCCGGAUCACAGUGCCUAGAAAGGUAGCCUGAUAUUAUUUCCAGUCUACAUCUACAAGGGUGAUUUGAGGGUGAAAUUUACAUUCACACCAGUGGAUUCUGAGCCAAACAGAUCAUUCUCUAUAAUGUGGCUAGGCCUCAUUCAAUUAGUUAAUCCUCUUCAAUUAAUUAAGCUUGGAUAGAAAAGACAAAAAAGACUGGCCUCUAUCCAGGAAUAAAGACCUCUCCAGCUGAUGGCCAUUGAACUUGUACUACAAGAUGAGCUCUUCUCUGGGUCUCUAGCUGCCCACCAACUCUGCAGAUCCUGAACUUAACAGCCUCCAUCAUUGCAUGAGCAAAACAUACCUUUCUUCAUGAGUGUGCUCUCCCCCUCCCCCAUCCCCGUGUGUGUGUGUGUGUGUGUGUGUGUGUGUGUGUGUGUGUGUGUGUGUAGGCAAUACCCAUAUUCUGUUGCUUCUGUUUUUCUGGAAGGCCCUAACUCCUAUACUCCUCCUUCCAGUAAACUUCAGAUACUGCCACAUACUGGCUUUCUUAAGAGAACAAUGCAGAGGGCAGGUAGUGAUGGACAGAGGCAGGGCAGGGGCAGUUUGGAUGCAAAUGUUCCAGGCUGCAUUCAGCACUGGAGGAGCCUGGAGGCAGCUGCUUCUGUUCUCUAAAUUCUACAGUCUAGUACCUUUCUGCACUGUUCACCUAUGAAAUAGACCCCAUGAGGACACGCUACAAACACCAGGCAGCCUUUAUGAAGUUGGCAGUCACCCCCAAAGUAAUCUGGAUCAUGACGGAAGGCCAUGAUCCCUGCGGGAAAGCUGCAGGGAGUGUACCAGAACAGACCUGAACAACAGUAGCCAGCAAAACCGCUGGGAGAGCCAUGCCCACCACCCCUAGUAUAUGCCAAAGAGCUCCAGAGGGAUUAGCAAAGAUGGAGUAUGUACUAUACACCAUGCCUACCAGACAGGAGCUGGCCUUUGUAUCAGAAAAGACAGGAGUGACGAUCUAAGGUUCCCAGUACACUUCAAUGACUCCAGUUGCCUUUGAAUUCAGUGGAAAUAAAUUGCAAUAAAAAUGCAGGAUUUGGAUGCA